UCCUUGAUGAUGCAUAGACUCAUAGACUAUCAGGGCUUGAAGGGAUCUCAGGAGGUCAUCUAGUCCAACCACCUGCUCAAAGCCUGACCAAUCCCCAAUUUUUGGCCCAGAUCCCUAACUAGCCCCCUCAAGGAUUGAACAUACAACCCUGGGUUUAGCAGGCCAAUGCUCAAAU